rnacentral:sRNA from 22 species
UAGAGAUUGUUAUUUGAAAUAAGUUGGUUAAAAAUAAAUCACUUCCCCCAUAGAAAUAUUUUUAAUCACUUAAGACGAAUAAACACUCCUUAAAUAUAGUUGUAGCACAGAAUUU